rnacentral:siRNA from 1 species
AGGAAGAUGCGAGAUGAGGUUCCU